rnacentral:misc_RNA from 1 species
CAUAUCUGUUACAGCAGUUUCGCCUACAUCCAGCUUCUCCAAACGUUUUAGAUACCCCAAGCUCUCAGGUAAACUAUCAAGCUUUGAGCAACCAAAAAGAUCAAGAUUUUUCAGUGAUUGCUUGAUGUUGCUUGGAAGACUCCCAAAGUUCUUACAGUUUCUCAUACUCAAGAAAACUAGCCCAGUGAGAUUUUUAAUUGAAAGAGGCAGUUCAGAUAUGGCAAUCCCAUCUAAGGAAACUUUGGAUAAGUGUUCCAUAUUUCCCACAAUUUCUGGAAACCUUCCAAGUUUAGAGCAGCCAGAAAGAAUAAGAGUAUUGAGAUUUUCCAAUUCAAUGCCUGUUGGAAGGCUCCGAAGGCAGCUGCAGUCCUUCAAAUUCAACAAAGCAAGCUUUUUGAGUACUCCAAGAGAUGGG